UACGUAGGUGGCAAGCGUUGUCCGGAAUCACUGGGCGUAAAGCGCGCGCAGGCGGCGAUCUACGUCUGGGGUGAAAGCCCGGAGCUCAACUCCGGGACUGCCUUGGAUACGGGAUCGCUUGAGGAUUGGAGAGGCAAGGGGAAUUCCACGUGUAGCGGUGAAAUGCGUAGAUAUGUGGAGGAACACCUGUGGCGAAGGCGCCUUGCUGGCCAAUUUCUGACGCUGAGGCGCGAAAGCGUGGGGAGCAAAC
rnacentral:rRNA from 1 species